rnacentral:lncRNA from 1 species
AAGGGUAUGGACAGUUGUCUCCUUUUUUUUUGGGGGGUUUGGUGAAAUGGACAUUAGUCUUUUUAUAUGGCCUUGGACAAUCCUAAACUUACAAGCUGGGACUUCAAGGUUGAGUUUGGUUGGGGAACAACACAAAUAGCCACUAAAUACAUCUGCUUUUAUUUUAAAGCUAGCAUUUUGAAUGUAUUUAGACUUUAGCCACUGCAUUAAUAAACUUUAUCUGCUCGGACGAAAAUACCCUUGUGCUCAUGUCCUUAACUUCAGAACUUCAGGACUACAUGUCCUUAACUUUAGAACUUGAAACUCUAAGUUCAGGACUUCAGGACUACAUGUCCUUAACUUUUGAACUUGGAACUCUAAGUUCAGCACUUCAAGGCUACAUGUCCUUAACUUUUGAAUUGGAACUCAAACUUCAAGACCAAGCUUCC